AGAGUGAACGCUGGCGGUAGGCCUAACACAUGCAAGUCGAACGGCAGCACAGUGGUAGCAAUACCAUGGGUGGCGAGUGGCGGACGGGUGAGGAAUACAUCGGAAUCUACCUUUUCGUGGGGGAUAACGUAGGGAAACUUACGCUAAUACCGCAUACGCCCGUUCGGGGGAAAGCCGGGGAUCGCAAGACCUGGCGCGGAUAGAUGAGCCGAUGUCGGAUUAGCUAGUUGGUGAGGUAAUGGCUCACCAAGGCGACGAUCCGUAGCUGGUCUGGAGAGGAUGAUCAGCCACACGUGGAACUGAGACACGGUCCAGACCUCGACGGGAGCAGCGAGUGGGAAUAGUGGACAAGUGGGCACGAAGCCCUAGACUCCGACGACC
rnacentral:rRNA from 1 species